rnacentral:rRNA from 1 species
AACGCGAAGAACCUUACCCACCUUUGACAUGUACGGAAUUUGCCAGAGAUGGCUCAGUGCUCGAAAGAGAACCGUAACACAGGUGCUGCAUGGCUGUCGUCAGCUCGUGUCGUGAGAUGUUGGGUUAAGUCCCGCAACGAGCGCAACCCUUGUCAUUAGUUGCUACAUUCAGUUGGGCACUCUAUUGAGACUGCCGGUGACAAACCGGAGGAAGGUGGGGAUGACGUCAAGUCCUCAUGGCCCUUAUAGGUGGGGCUACACACGUCAUACAAUGGCUGGUACAAAGGGUUGCCAACCCGCGAGGGGGAGCUAAUCCCAUAAAACCAGUCGUAGUCCGGAUCGCAGUCUGCAACUCGACUGCGUGAAGGCGGAAGCGGGUAGUAAGU